CUUCUCUUUCUCUUCCUCUUCCCUAUCUAACACCCCCGAUCAAGAUCAAAACGCCGUUCUCCACUAUAAUCCCAACACGGCGCUAUUUUCUUCUUUAUGCUUAGUCUCGUCAGACCGUUGCUUUUACUCAAACGGAGAGUCGAGGGUGGAGCGGGCAUGGGCGCACUGGAAUCGUAAGCCGAAGCUAAUUAAUCGUAGCUCCAUGGUAGAUAUUGAGAGCUUCUGUUCCGAAUGCUCUGUAGAAAAUAUGGAGUUGAUGCUGCUUAUACUCCGAUGUUGCAUUCCAUAAUUUUUAAUGAGACUGAAUAUCGUUCUCAUCUCAAGAAUUUACUACUUGUAAGUUCAAGGAGUUAGCACAAGCUUAUGAAGUUCUAACUUCUAAUUGACCCUGAAAAACGUGAGAUAUGAUUAGUAUGGUGAGAUAUCCUCAAGGAAGGAAUGGGUGGUGGAGGCAAAGAUCGUGACCCAUUUGAUAUUUUUCAAACUUUAUUAUAUUUAUAGAAAAUUGGAUUCACAAACUAAAUUUUACUCAAGUCAGUUCUCAUAUUCGGAAUGAAUAUGUGCAGGCAUUGGAUGAAUUACAGUAAUCAUCGUCGCCGUAGAAGAAGGAUGAUAAUGUUAGUUCAAACCUUAAUUACAUGGAAAGCGAAGACAAAAAAAUGAUGAUUAUGUUGACUUUAUAUUGAUAUUUUUUUGAUUUAACAUUGACAAAUAAAAUAUUAUUUAUUCAUGUUGUAGUCAGAGUCACCAAUGCUAAAAUUACGUGUAAUUAAUUUAUAA